UACGAAGGGGGCUAGCGUUGCUCGGAAUCACUGGGCGUAAAGCGCACGUAGGCGGGUUCUUAAGUCAGGGGUGAAAUCCUGGAGCUCAACUCCAGAACUGCCUUUGAUACUGGGGAUCUCGAGUCCGGAAGAGGUGAGUGGAACUCCGAGUGUAGAGGUGAAAUUCGUAGAUAUUCGCAAGAACACCAGUGGCGAAGGCGGCUCACUGGCCCGAUACUGACGCUGAGGUGCGAAAGCGUGGGGAGCAAACAGGG
rnacentral:rRNA from 1 species